GGGAGUAUUGCACAAUGGACGAAAGUCUGAUGCAGCAACGCCGCGUGGGUGAAGAAGGCCUUUUGGGUCGUAAAGCCCUUUCGGCAGGGAAGAAGUGGUUCUUGGCUAAUAUCCAAGGAUUUUUGACGGUACCUGAAGAAGAAGCACCGGCUAAUUUCGUGCCAGCAGCCGCGGUAAUACGAAAGGUGCAAGCGUUGUUCGGAAUUAUUGGGCGUAAAGCGCACGCAGGCGGAUUUGUGUGUCGAUUGUGAAAUCCCCCGGGGCUCAACCUGGGAAUUGCAGUCGAAACUGCAGAUCUUGAAUACC
rnacentral:rRNA from 1 species